ACAAAACAAUAUUUCACCUUUCCAGAAGCUUCUAUUUGACUGAAAUUGUAGCAGCCAGGAAAAGACAAAUAAGCAUCUUUCUCAAUUAGCUGUACAAUCAUCCCUUUUUGAAGAAAUAUAACAUAACAUGGUGUAACAGGAGGAUAAAUUCAAGCAAUUGAGAAACAGAGAGAAACUAUAGUAUGUUGCUGGAUUUGUUUUGAUCAGAAUUUACUGUCUAUAUGCUGUAAUAAGACCCACUGUAGCUUUCAGAAGUGUUCUCAGAAAGUAAACAAAAUAACUUUUCUUAGAUGGUAUUAA